AAUCCUAAGGCCGGCGGGAGAAGUGUUGUUAAGGAACUCGGCAAAAUGGCCCCGUAACUUCGGGAGAAGGGGCGCCCAGAAAUGGGCCGCAGAGAAAAGGCUCAAGCAACUGUUUAGCAAAAACACAGGUCUAUGCGAAACCGAAAGGUGAGGUAUAUGGGCUGACGCCUGCCCGGUGCUGGAAGGUUAAGGGGAGAGGUUAGCCGCAAGGCGAAGCUUUGAACUUAAGCCCCAGUAAACGGCGGCCGUAACAAUAACGGUCCUAAGGUAGCGAAAUUCCUUGUCGGGUAAGUUCCGACCCGCACGAAAGGCGUAAUGAUUUGAGCACUGUCUCGACAACACACCCGGUGAAAUUGAAAUACCAGUGAAGAUGCUGGUUACCUGCGCCAGGACGGAAAGACCCCAUGGAGCUUUACUCUAGUUUGAUACUGGGACCCGGUAUGACAUGUACAGGAUAGGUGGGAGGCAGAGAAUUAAUGACGCCAGUCAUUAAGGAGCCGCUGUUGGGAUACCACCCUUGUGAUGCCAGGUUUCUAACGAGCUGCCGUGAACCGGCAGGCGGACAAUGUCAGGCGGGGAGUUUGACUGGGGCGGUCGCCUCCGAAAGGGUAUCGGAGGCGCUCAAAGGUUCCCUCAGAAUGGUUGGAAACCAUUCGGAGAGUGCAAAGGCAGAAGGGAGCCUGACUGCGACACCGACGGGUGGAGCAGGUACGAAAGUAGGACUUAGUGAUCCGGUGGUAUAAAGUGGGAUUGCCAUCGCUCAACGGAUAAAAGCUACCCUGGGAUAACAGGCUUAUCACUCCCAAGAGUUCACAUCGACGGAGUGGUUUGGCACCUCGAUGUCGGCUCAUCGCAUCCUGGGGCUGGAGUAGGUCCCAAGGGUUGGGCUGUUCGCCCAUUAAAGCGGUACGCGAGCUGGGUUCAGAACGUCGUGAGACAGUUCGGUCCCUAUCCGGCGCGGGCGUAAGAGAUCUGAGAGGAGCUGUCCUUAGUACGAGAGGACCGGGAUGGACGGACCACUGGUGUAUCUGUUGCACCACCAGGUGCACGGCAGAGUAGCCAAGUCCGGACGGGAUAAACGCUGAAGGCAUCUAAGCGUGAAGCCCCCCUCAAGAUGAGAUCUCUCAUUCGAAAGAAGUAAGACCCCUUGAAGACGACGAGGUAGAUAGGGCAGGGGUGGAAGGGCAGUAAUGUCCGGAGCUGACUGUUACUAAUCGGUCGAGGGCUUGACCU
rnacentral:rRNA from 1 species